rnacentral:lncRNA from 1 species
AUUGAAGUUACCGAGGCAGAUCUCAAGGAUGACCAGAGGGAUGAGUUGGCAAAGGCUAUGGAAAAUUUCAAGAAGGCAUGCCUGCAAUCCUACAGUCGUACCAGAAGCGAGGAACCCGUCAAAAAGACCGCUCUUCCAACUCCUCGUCAGAUCACCAUCGCCGAAGACUCGGGGAAGAUGUCCGAGAUGAUCCAGCAAUCUAUUUGUCAGGCUAUGAUUGAUCAGUCCAAGGUAAUGACCCACACGGUGUACAACGCCAUCAUUAGUUCUAUGGCAAAUGGUGCUGCGCAGGGGUAUCAGGGAUCAACUUACGCUCCUCCUAUCAGCGCACCAGUCAGAAACCUUUCGGUGGCACCCAGCAUAUUCCAAUUGGCUCCUCAACCGAUGCAGAUGUAGAGCGGGGGGU